GUAGAAAAUGAUGAAUGCGGGUACAAAUUAAGUUGAGAAUAACAGCCCACAUUCCAGUUCGCCACCCAAAAGGCGUCUGAAAAUUGAAAAAUGAACCUUUCUUUAUUAGUAUACUACCCUUAAAGGGCAAUAAGAAAGGGGUAAAAUCAGCUUUUAUUUCACUUUCACUUUUAAUGUGAGGAAACAUUGGUCGAGUUAGAAAAUGAGAACUUAGUCCCCUGACAAUAGUUAGACCACUUUUAGAUGAGCGAGAGCUUCUUUCAUUAUAGAAUUCUGUUAGAGUACGGUUGUCCCUUUUCCUACCAUACUACCACAUUUUACACUUCCGCUAUUAUUGUCCAAAACCACUCUGAUCAUUUUAUUAAAGUGAAUUUUCCCAAAGUAUACUUUAAAAAACCCAUUUGAAGGAAACCACCGAUAAUGAAGGAAAAAAGACUUUUUACUUAUUAUUUUUGUGAUAUCCAAAAUAAUUUUGUGUCAGUAUUUUACUACGCAUUGAUCUUUUGAUAAAUAUAUUUAUCGCUGAUUCUGAUUAUCUAAUUACAAAACUUGCCGCCAUAAUCACCCCCGAAUUUACCAGCGCUUCUUCAAUUAUCGAAAUCCAGUAUAUAAAGUUUUGUUUAAUUACCAGCCUAAAAGACUUAGAAAAGCCCAUAUUUGAAAAGGAAACGCAAGAAGACGUUUCUUCACCUGUCGGAUUAUUCGGGUUUAAAUUCGGAUUUAGUUCGAAAGACUAUGCUCGCUAACUUUCCAUUUCAUCUUUGAUUACAGUUUAUUGGUUUACACAGUUUUCUAUAACUUUAUAAUCAGUUAAAUUAACCAGUUGCAUAACGUUUGAAUCAGAUAAACUUGACAGUUGCUCAUUUUAUUACAUAAUACUAUCAGGGUUUAGUUGAAGAGGGACUCAUUUAGCCGAAAAAGAGGGAGAAUGAAGAGGGUGGCAGUUAUCAUAAUCGCGUUCGGCAUCACGAUCAUUAUGGUAAUUGCAUGUCUGGUCUCAUUUGACGUGCAGCCAUCGCCUUGUCUGGACCUUCUGACCAAAGAGAAAGACCUCCUGAACAACACCUGGACUCCCCAAUCUUAUCAUAACCUGACAGAGUUAUGUAAUAACUCCACGUGGUACUCCAAUCUACUUGAGGAACGAUAUCAAAGCGACAAGUCCUACAGGUACAAAGGAUGACGUAAUCAUCCACUCUGUGACGUAAUAUCAGGCAAAUAAGCGAUGGAAAAGCUGGAGAAAGACGAUCUCGCAAGAUGAAAUUUCAUCGUGGGGAUCAAAUUUUUAGCUAAAUUUUUGAGUGCACUGUAUAAUAAUUUCAGUUAUCUUAAAUUUGUAUAUAAAUAUUCUUAAGAAAAAAGUUUUGGUUUCCUG